AUUUAUUGAACUGUAUCUAUCUUAAGGUUCCAGAGAAUCAUGGUUACUUCUAUCACCCAACUGAAGUGGAGGUGGAAUAAGGGAAGUGAUAUAAGGGAGAUUUCCUGGAUUUCCAGAAGGUUUGGCACCAUCCAGGCUAUUCAUGGUUAUUAUAUAUCCCUAAGAAGAAAAUUUAAACUUAUUUCUCAAUUUGGUGUUCUGUGAUUGGUACUUGGAAAUAAAAAGAAUAAGAACUUUAUACCCUCUAGAAGCAGCUCAAAACUGUAAUAUCAUUACCACUAGGUUCCUACCAUUAUUUACCUUUCCUUUCUACUUCUACUAAACAGAAUCACAGAUUUGGCAGAUAUUUAAGUGUAUAGAUAAUGGGGAAGGGGCAGGAAGAGAAUGACAAUAUUUAGGGAGCAUGAGUGGGAACAUGCAGGAGAGAAUUCUCCUCUACAGAUAACACCCUUGAGGUCUAUUGUCCGUUUCUUUCUCUUCCCAAGCACUAAAUCUCUUGCCUAGUCCAGUCCAGUAUAUUACACUACCUGGAAGAUAUAUAAUUAUUUUUGUUCUGACUGUAACUAUAACCAGAUUAGGUAAAGAAUAGGUACUUAGUUCUCAGUAAAUGUUGGCCCAUCUACAGUAUUAAACAAUUCCUUCUAGACCCUCCAUGAUUUAAUUCCAUCAGUUUGUUUCAAUAAACUCUUAUUCACUGAACACAUAUUACAUGAUACAUAUCCUACUAUGCAAUAGGAUAUCAAAAUGAAUCCAUGUUCUCUGCACUCAAGAAUUUUUCAUUCCUGGGGCACCUGGGUGACUCAGUCAGUCACGCAUCUGACUCUUGGUUUCGGCUCAGAUCAUGAUCUCAGGGUCAGGGGAUCGAGCCCCAUGACAGGCUCCACACUCAGCAUGGAAUCUUGUUCCUCUCCCUCUGCUCUGCCCCCCCCCCCCCUGGCUUUCUCUCUCUCUCCCCCAAAUAAAUAAAAUCUUAAAAAAAAAAAAGUUUUCAGCCCAAUACAGAGAAAGGCAAACAGGAAAUAUCAAUGCAAAAUGUUCAAGCAUAUGAAUAUCCAAGUAGGACCACUAGCUUAGAUGACCAUCCAAGUAGAGCCUCAAGAACAGAGUUAGUACUGCCAAGCAGGGGUGAGAGAAGUUAUUCCAAGCAAAGGAAACAGCCUAAACAAGGACAAAGAGGCAUGAAAAAGAUUCCUUAGGUCAGAAAACAUGUAGUUCAGUAUUAUUAACCUAUCAUUACUUUACUACCAACCCUGCAUUAAGGCUGAAAUGUGCUAGAACUUCCUUCUUAUCAAAUGUGCUAGAACUUCCUUCUCAUCAUGUAAGAAAUUAAAAUAUCACACAUGUGUGGACACCUGGGUGGCUCAAACAUCCAACUCUUGAUUUCAGCUCAGGUCAUGAUCUCCAGGUCGUGGGAUCCAGCCCUGCGUCAGGCUCUCACAAGGGCAGAGUCUACUACUCUCCCUCUCCCUCUGUCCCUUCCCCCUUCUCAUGCUCUCUCUCUAAAAAUAAAUAAAUAAAAUCUUUAAAAAAUAUAUCACACAUGAAAUUAAUCUAGUUAGGUCAUGGCAGAGUCACAGCAUCUGACUCAAUAAUGGGGCUAAGGGGAAUAUUCUUAGAAUACCUAUUUACUGAGCUUUCAAUUCUGCAUUCCAACAAAUCUCCUAACUAAAUCCAAUUUGAAAGAAAGACCCCAUCACUAAAUUUCACUGAAAUUCCCAUAAUAACUUCUAAAAUAUAUGACAAUCAUUACAUGCAAAUGGAAAGUUUUUGCCAAAGGAUGGUGCAAAACAUUAGAAAUAUACAUUCAUUAUGCCUUCAGAAUUAUUCAACUAUUAAGUUCUAUGAUGCCUAUGAAAGAAUAUAUUCAUGCUUUGCUUUCAGAUUUCUGGAUGGAGAAGGAAGUCUAAAAAAAAAAAACUGUAUGGCAUUCAAAUUAGAAUGAGUCAUACAUGUAAUAGUGAAAAACAGUAAAACAUAAUUAGAUAAACACAGACAAUUUACCAAAAAAAGAACACAAGACAGAUAUGAACAUGGGAAAAUAUUCAGCUAUACAAAUGAUGGGGGGAAGGAAGAAUGACAAAAAGAAAACAUCAUUUUUACCAAGUAAUUAACAAGAAAAAAAAGUUUUAAAAAACAUACCCACAACUGUUUUAAAUUUGCUUUGUGAUUAUCUUGUUUUGGCAGAUGAAGAAAGAGAACUCAUAAAAAGGAUGCCAAAUACUCUUAAGAAAGCUAAAGUAAUACUGAACUUAGAGAGAGUGCACAAGCAGGGGGGAGAUGGAGAAGGAGAAGCAGGCUCCCCGUUGAGCAGGGAGCCCGAAGCAGGGCUUGAUCCCAGGACCCUGGAAUCAUGACCCAAGCUGAAAGCAGCCACUUAACCAAAUGAGCGACCCAGGGACCCCAACAUUUUAAACUUUUAAACUUCAAGUCAUUAUGGAGCAGAGGAGCAAGAUGGCAGAGGAGUAGGAGACAUGGAUUUCAUCUGGUCCCAGGAAUUCACCGGAUAAGGAUCAAACCAUUCUGAAUACCUACAAACUCAACAGGAGAUCGAAGAAAAGAAUAGCAACAACUCUGAACAGAAAAGCAACUACUUUCUGGAAGGUAGGACGUGCGGAGAAGUGAAUCUGAGGCAAUAUUCAGGAGGAUAGACAGCGGGGGAGGGGGUCUCCGUCAGCCGCUACUGGCAAGUGAUAGAGCCGCGGAGCAAAAAAUCAGAACUUUUAGAAGUCUGCUCCGCUGAGGGACGU